rnacentral:lncRNA from 1 species
GUCUCAUCAGUGUAAACACUGUUGACAUAUUAUUUCUUAAUAUUUAUUUACACUGUGUCUGUCUGUAGUAAAUUAUUAACUUCUGUAACUAAUUUUAAUCAUUGUUCAUUAGCCAGAAGAAGACAAUAGAGAUAUCCUGUAAGAAGUAGAUGAAAGUCAAUUUUAAGUUACUAUUUCAGUACAUCUCAUUUCAUUUUAUUAACUAUAUUAUGUAAGUAUCAUUUAUAAUUUACACAUUCUCUGUUUUAUAUUUACAUUUCUACUUCAUCUGCGCCAUUCUUGCUCCGUUCAAGUUAUGGUUUUACCUCCUCAUUUUUACUUUGCUUCAUUAUCUCUAAUUUCUAUCUUGGUUUAAAACCCGUAGUUAAUAUACUUUGCAGGAAAUUUAUUUUUAAUUUUUAUUAUAAUUCAUUCAACUUCGGCGAUCCUUUACAUAACUGUUGUGAAUUCAAAUGUGUCUUUUCAGUUUACAGUAACCGAAUCAUUAAAUUUUAAAACAAUAAGUAGUUAAGGCGGCGAAACAAGAAGUAUCGCUUCUGUGUAUCCCAUGUUGUGUAUUAACACGAAAAGAUGAGAGUGAACGUAAUGAAUUUUGAUAAACUAGUAUGCUGUAUAGUGAAAUGUCUGAAGUUUUAGAACUGAUACUUCGAGAGAAAAGGAAUUUUUCAUUUGUUGAACAUAACUUUUCGUUCAAACGAGUUGCUAGUCCAAAACUACAGGUUCCCCCUUCCCUCACGUCAUUCAAACUUGAUCAAAUAUAUGAAUUUCCUUGUGUAUUCUUUUGAGUCCACGGUGAAAAUGUAAAGGUUUGCCCUACCUCUAAUAAAAUCAUUAUAAUAUCAUUUUCUGAUAUGCGUAACGCUUUAUAUUAACCCUUAUUCAAGUCCUACAAUGAAUUUUCUCACUCAAAUAUUUAAAUGUUACUAUAAUCAUAAGUCUUUUACCUCCAGAAGCCUGAUUCAAUUAAGUAACUAACAUUUCAAAUGAUGUAGAUAUGAAUUUUUGUUUGCUUGGAUCUGGUGAAAAAUAUAGUUUUAGGAUGUUCUAGGUCGGCUGAGCUUGGUUUAUCCACACUUUUAGUCCUUACUCAUUUCUACUACAUAUAUAUACCAAAGUGUCUGUUCUCUGUAAACAUGUUCUGUUUCUUUCGGUUCUAACUUUCAAUAUCUAUGGUCAGCUAUUUUCUCCAAUAAUCAACAUGUUAAUACUUCAUUGUCCUUUAUGUCUUAUGUUGUCUUUAUUUCAGGUUAUUUGAUGACACUGAGAUAAAAAUGUUUCAUGGAUCGUCAAUCUUGGAAAACUAAAAAUAACUUCAUCAAGCUGAUGUCAGCCCAUAUCUACUACUCUUGGUUGAAUUGAUGUGAAAUAUUUCCUUUGAAGUGAGAAUAUUUCUAAAAAAAUUCUUAUACAAAUAUUUACUCGAAUAUUUUGUGUGCAGAUUAAAAUUGGAAGAUUUACCAUGAAAUUGUAAUUUUCUUAUGUGUGAUUACUAAUAUAACAAAAAUAUAUCUUGUUAAUUCGGAUGAGUUUAAUGUUCUUUUAGUUGCUCAUCAUUAAUUACAAGAUUCCAUUUUAAGAAAUCCAC